UUGUUCCUAAUUUCAUAUAUAUAUUUUUUUUGUUAUGCGUUUUCCCUUUUUCAACAAAACCCCAUUUUACAUUUAAAAAUUCCACCUUUUUUCAAUAUUGCAAUGGGUGAUGAUGAUGCCCUCAAGUUACUCUUUGAUGUUUCCAACUCCAACACCUUAGAAAACUCCUUAGAUAUUCUCAUUCAAACUGCUAAAUCUGAAUCUGGACGUUCCCACCUCGCUUCCAAAAGAAUUCUCCCUGUAGUUCUCAGUAUACUUCACUCACAAACCCCUUUUUUGGAUCACCAUAUUCUAUCUUUGUGUUUCAAGCUUCUCAGAAACCUGUGUGCUGGUGAACUUGUGAAUCAGAAUUUGUUUCUUGAGUUUGACGGGGUUGUUAUUGUUGUUUCGAGGAUUUUGAGGUUAGAGGGUGUUUCUGAUCAUAUGUUGGUUCGAUGGGGUUUGCAGGUUUUGGCCAAUGUUUGUUUGGCUGGGAAAAAGCAUCAGAGGGCUGUUUGGGAAGAGUUGUUUCCUCUUGGUUUUGUGUCUCUUGCAAGACUUGGAAUUAAGGAUGUUUCUGAUCCAUUGUGUAUGGUGAUUUAUACAUGUUGUGAUGGAAAUCCAGAAUGGUUUGGAGAGCUUUGUAGCGAUAGUGGUUGGCCUGUAGUGGUGGAAUCAGUGAAAACUGCUUCUUCUGCUAGUUUUGGCGAGGAUUGGAUAAAGUUGAUUCUCUCAAGAAUUUGUCUUGAAGAAUCUCAAUUGCCUGUAUUGUUUUCUAAAUUACGGUUUAAGGAUAUUCACGAGGGUGAAGAUACCGAGUCAAUAGAUGAUCAGUUUUCAUCUGAACAAGUGUUUCUUCUGCAAAUUCUAUCAGAAAUUUUGAAUGAGCGAAUCGAAGAUUUUACUAUUUCGAAGGAUGUUGCGUUGUUUGUUUAUGGAGUAUUCAAGAAAUCUAAGGGGGUUCUUGAGCAUGCAGUGAGAGGCAAGUCCGGUCUUCCGACUGGCAUUACUGCAGUGGAUGUUCUUGGCUACUCGCUUACUAUAUUGAGGGACAUCUGUGCUCAUGAUAGUGCAAGAGGUAAUGCAGAGGAUGCAAACGAUGUUGUCGAUGUGUUAUUGUCAAAUGGUCUCAUGGAGUUGCUUUUGAUUGUGCUUGGGGACCUUGAACCUCCAGCAAUAAUCAGAAAAGGAAUCAAACAAUCUGAGAAUCAAGAUGGUGCUAGCUCUUCCUCGAAACCAUGCCCUUACAAAGGAUUUAGGAGAGACAUAGUUGCACUUAUCGGAAAUUGUGUGUAUAGAAGGAAGCAUGCACAAGAUGAACUGCGGAAUAGGAAUGGAGUUCUAUUGCUAUUGCAGCAAUGUGUUACCGAUGAAGAUAAUCCUUUUCUGAGAGAAUGGGGAAUAUGGUCUGUCAGGAAUAUGUUGGAGGGCAAUGAGGAGAAUCAAAAGGUAGUUUCUGAAUUGCAGCUGCAAGGAUCUGCUGAUAUACCCGAAAUUUCUGCACUUGGUCUUCGAGUCGAGGUUGAUCAAAAUACUCGGCGUGCAAAGCUUGUAAAUGUCUCUUGAAGAAUGAAAUUCUUGUCUGAUAGUUUUCUGUAUAAGAGCAUCUGUUCUAACAUCGACAGCAAGGGUGUGCUCUUUCCAGAGCUUCCCUUAGAUGGGAUUCGUCUGAAAGAAUACCAUUGGAGCACGUAUAAUUUUAUCUAGCAUUGCAAUCUUUUCACAGCACAUUUCAACAACUCUUCGGACAUUCCUUACUCCUAAAUCAUGCCUUCACUAAGAAGAAGAAUUUUAUCCAUCUGAGGGAGAAAAUGAAGCUGGUUGGUGACAAGAACCCUGUUUUUUUCUUGCAGCCCUUACUUAAUACUACAGUUCCUGAAAACUUGAGUAAUAUGAGCAUCAAGAGCACUUAACGGAUCAUCAAAUAACAUAUGCAUCUAAAUUUGAGUAUACAGCUUUAGCUAAAGAAACUCUUUGAUCUUAUUUUUUUUACUCAAGAAACUCUUUGAUUUUGUUCACCACUAAUAUCGACUCCUCUUUCUUCAAUCUCUGUAAAAUCGUGUCUAGGUAAAUGGUUGAUAA